rnacentral:rRNA from 1 species
UACGUAGGGGGCAAGCGUUGUCCGGAAUCAUUGGGCGUAAAGAGCGCGUAGGCGGUCCGGUAAGUCGGUUGUGAAAACUGGGGGCUCAACCCUCAGAGGCCGACCGAUACUGCCGGGCUAGAGUCCGGAAGAGGCGAGUGGAAUUCCUGGUGUAGCGGUGAAAUGCGCAGAUAUCAGGAGGAACACCAAUGGCGAAGGCAGCUCGCUGGGACGGUACUGACGCUGAGACGCGAAAGCGUGGGGAGCAAACAGG